GGACAUUAAGAAGUGGUUGCAGCAGCUCGAAGGCACUGAGGAAAAAUCCCUGGAGGAACUGCAGAGACCGGGAGAGCAGCAUAACUGACCUGGACUCGGCUACCACAGGGAUAUGUUCGAGUGCGAGAGCGUAACACUUGGAUUAAUUACACCCAAGUCAAGCUAGCCCCUAGGCCGGGGCCAGAAGCAGACGACUCCGGACCUCGAGGGAGCCCCGCCAGCUCUUCCCACCGCGACCCGGAAGAGCCUGAAGCAGACGAUACCUGGAAGGCUGAGCCUCUCGAGGGACUAAAGCUCCUGUUCGGACGGAAUAAGCCCUGCGACUUUUACUGACUAUGGAUUUCUGGGUGGUGAGACAAUGGUUGCUUGCUUUUAGUUUGCCCUUUGUACAUGCCAACCCCCACCCAGCGGUUGAAUCCUUGCAGCGGCUGAUCCAGAAGUGGCUUUGUAAAAUAGCCGUGUGUUAGAUGCUAUGAAUGCUGAAAUGGGGGGGGGGGGGCUUGUGCUUGCAUUGGAGAAAUAUGUUGCUUUUAUGUUAAUCACUGUGGCUUAAUUGAAAAGGAUUUAUAAGAUAUUAAGAAUGCUGCUGUUGUAUUUCAUGCUGUAUCUCUUGAUCACACCUUUAGUUUUGAGGACCUCCUCCCAGACCUUGGGUCUUGGUUCACUGACCUUUUCCGUACAAUUGUUAAAUGGAUUGUUUUCUGUCUAUUCUUCCUAUGUGUUAGUUGGAUAAUGAUUCAAUGUGCAAAAUGUCUGUGUAAUACUGUAACCAAAAGCUCUGCUGUCUGUAAGACAACCCAAUACCUGUCUCUUCAGCUUGAUCGUAAGUUACGUAACGGGCCUGACAAUCUGAGCUGGGGGGAGGCCCGGGAAACCUCACCCGGCCCGGACACGGAAAGUAUUGACAGAUUGAUAGCUCAGACUGUCAGGCCCGAAGGGGGAAUUGUGAAAGCUCUUCGGUAGCCCACACCCUCCAUUAAUAGUUUUGCAAACGGCCAGUAGGUGGAGGCAGAAGUCUCCAAAAGGCCUCACGUACACAGUACCUUGAACUUUGUAACUAAUCUUUUUUUGCUGCCAGAGGCAGAAAAAGAUCCUGCUUUAAGCCAGUUUUUCCUUACCAGAUAACGGUGUUACGGGGUUUAGUAACCACCAAUGAAGUGUUAACACGGCAUGGUCUUUGUCUGAAAGUGUAUAAAAAGCUUGUGAAACUUG